AACGCACCUUGCGCUCCUUGGUAUUCCGAGGAGCAUGCCUGUUUGAGUGUCGUGAAAUUCUCAACCUGUCUAACUUGAAAGAGCUAGAUCAGGCUUGGAUGUGGAGGUUGCUGGUUUCCCAGAAAUCAGCUCUUCUUAAAUGUAUUAGCAGAAACUUUGCUAAUUAUCUUUGGUAUGAUAAUUAUCUAUACCACGGACAAUUGGCUCCUUCAUUGGGAGGGUUUUACUGCUUCUAAUAGUCUAUUCAGACAAUUCUUGACAAUUUUGACCUCAAAUCAGGUAGGACUACCCGCUGAACUUAA
rnacentral:misc_RNA from 1 species